AAAUGAAUUGACGGGAGCCCGCACAAGCAGUGGAGUAUGUGGAUUAAUUCGAUGCAACGCGAAGAACCUUACCGGAGCUUGACAUCCGCGGAAGGCCCGAUAGAGAGGGCCGUGCCCUUCGGGGAGCCGCGAGACAGGUGGUGCAUGGUUGUCGUCAGCUCGUGUCGUGAGAUGUUGGGUUAAGUCCCGCAACGAGCGCAACCCUUACGGUUAGUUGCUACGGAAGAGCACUCUAGCCGGACUGCCGUUGACAAAACGGAGGAAGGUGGGGACGACGUCAAAUCAUCAUGCCCCUUACGUUCCGGGCCUCACACGUACUACAAUGGCGCAAACAAAGGGAAGCGAGUACGCGAGUAGGAGCAAAUCCCAAAAAAGGCGUCUCAGUUCGGAUUGCAGGCUGCAACCCGCCUGCAUGAAGUUGGAAUUGCUAGUAAUCGCGGAUCAGCAUGCCGCGGUGAAUACGUUCCCGGGCUUUGUACACACCGCCCGU
rnacentral:rRNA from 1 species